rnacentral:tRNA from 1 species
GUUAGCUCAGUCGGAAGAGCUAUCGGCUUUAAACUGCGUGGUCGGGGGUUCGA